rnacentral:rRNA from 1 species
CGACUAAGCGUACACGGUGGAUGCCCUGGCAGUCAGAGGCGAUGAAGGACGUGCUAAUCUGCGAAAAGCGUCGGUAAGGUGAUAUGAACCGUUACAGCCGGCGAUGUCCGAAUGGGGAAACCCAGUGCAAUUCGUUGCACUAUCGUUAACUGAAUACAUAGGUUAACGAGGACGUGCUAAUCUGCGAAAAGCGUCGGUAAGGUGAUAUGAACCGUUACAGCCGG